AAGUCGUAACAAGGUUUCCGUAGGUGAACCUGCGGAAGGAUCAUUAUCGAAUUAAACGUGAUACAGGUUGUUGCUGGCUCUCCUUGGAGUGCAUGUGCACGCUUGCCUCUCUUUAUUUCUCCAACUGUGCACAAAUUGUAGACCCGUUUGAGAAUCGCUGAAAGUCAGCUUUUCCUUGGAUCUAUGUUUUCACAAUCUCUGAAUGUAUUAGAAUGGUUUGAAUCUGGGGAAUAUACAUACAACUUUCAGCAACGGAUCUCUUGGCUCUC
rnacentral:misc_RNA from 1 species